AUUGAACGCUGGCGGCAUGCCUUACACAUGCAAGUCGAACGGCAGCACGGGAGCAAUCCUGGUGGCGAGUGGCGAACGGGUGAGUAAAGUAUCGGAACGUGCCCAGUCGUGGGGGAUAACGUAGCGAAAGUUACGCUAAUACCGCAUACGAUCUAUGGAUGAAAGCGGGGGAUCGCAAGACCUCGCGCGAUUGGAGCGGCCGAUAUCAGAUUAGGUAGUUGGUGGGGUAAAGGCUCACCAAGCCGACGAUCUGGAGCUGGUCUGAGAGGACGGCCAGCCACACUGGAACUGAGACACGGCCCAGACUCCUACGGGAGGCAGCAGUGGGGAAUUGUGGACAAUGGGCGAAAGCCUGAUCCAGCCAUGCCGCGUGCAGGAUGAAGGCCUUCGGGUUGUAAACUGCUUUUGUACGGAACGAAAAGGUUUGGGCUAAUAAGCUGAGCUCAUGACGGUACCGUAAGAAUAAGCACCGGCUAACUACGUGCCAGCCGCCGCCGUAA
rnacentral:rRNA from 1 species